rnacentral:rRNA from 1 species
CCUACGGGUGGCUGCAGUGGGGAAUAUUGGACAAUGGGCGAAAGCCUGAUCCAGCCAUGCCGCGUGUGUGAAGAAGGCCUUCGGGUUGUAAAGCACUUUCAGUGGGGAAGAAAGCCUUGGGGCUAAUACCCUCGAGGAAGGACAUCACCCACAGAAGAAGCACCGGCUAACUCCGUGCCAGCAGCCGCGGUAAUACGGAGGGUGCGAGCGUUAAUCGGAAUUACUGGGCGUAAAGCGCGUGUAGGCGGUCUGAUAAGCCGGUUGUGAAAGCCCCGGGCUCAACCUGGGAACGGCAUCCGGAACUGUCAGGCUAGAGUGCAGGAGAGGAAGGUAGAAUUCCCGGUGUAGCGGUGAAAUGCGUAGAGAUCGGGAGGAAUACCAGUGGCGAAGGCGGCCUUCUGGACUGACACUGACGCUGAGGUGCGAAAGCGUGGGUAGCAAACAGGAUUAGAUACCCUGGUAGUC